UGGGCCUUAAGUUAUAUAAACUAUAAGCCUUCCAAGCUUAAAAAAUAAAUUAGGCCUAA
rnacentral:tRNA from 1 species